AUACGGAGGAUCCGAGCGUUAUCCGGAUUUAUUGGGUUUAAAGGGUGCGCAGGCGGCCAUUUAAGUCAGCGGUUAAAUCGUGGGGCUCAACCCCAUUCUGCCGUUGAUACUGGGUGGCUUGAUUGCGGUCGAGGUUGGCGGAAUUCGUUGUGUAGCGGUGAAAUGCAUAGAUAUGGCGAAGAACACCGAUUGCGUAGGCAGCUGACCAGACCGCAAAUGACGCUCAUGCACGAAAGUGCGGGGAUCGAACAGGAUUAGAUACCCUGGUAGUUCGCACAGUAAACGAUGAAUACUUGUUUUCGGCGAUAUAAUGUCGGAGGCAAAGCGAAAGCGAUAAGUAUUCCACCUGGGGAGUACGCCGGCAACAGUGAAACUCAAAGGAAUUGACGGGG
rnacentral:rRNA from 1 species